rnacentral:rRNA from 1 species
AACGAACGCUGGCGGCAUGCCUAACACAUGCAAGUCGAACGAGACCUUCGGGUCUAUUGGCGCACGUGUGCGUAAGGCGUGGGAACCUGCCCUUAGGUUCGGAAUAACUCCCCGAAAGGGGUGCUAAUACCGGAUAAUCUCUUCGGACCAAAGAUUUAUCGCUUUUGGGUGGGCCCGCGUUGGAUUAGCUAGUUGGUAGGGUAAAAGCCUACCAACGCGACGAUCGAUAGCUGGUCUGAGAGGAUGCUCAGCCACACUGGGACUGAUACACGGCCCAGAAUCCUACGGAGGGCAGCAGUAGGGAAUACUGGACAAGGGAAGAAAGCCUGACACAGCCACGCCGCGUGAGUGAUCAAGGCCUUAGGGUUGCAAAGCCCUCUUACACGGGCUGAUAAUGACAGUACCGGGAGAAUAAGCUCCGGCUAACUCCGUG